ACAUCCAUUUUUCUCGAAUACUAUCUCUUACAGUAAUUAUUGUAUCGUACAAUUUGUUUUGAUGUUAGAUGGCAGCCUCAUAACCGGGAAACGUGAUUAUUAAUUUUAAUCGAGAAUGAUCCAAGCUGAAUAAGAGUUUUUCUCGUAUUUUAUCUAUUUGCCUUUGACAAUGCCAUAUCUUGUCUAUAUACACAUUUAUUAUGUAGUAAACAGAAACUCAUUUUGUGAGCAGCUUUCUAGUUGAAUAAAACGCAUAGUGGAUUUUCUAAAUUUCAAGUUCAGUCGUGGAGGGGAAACCAAAUAACAAAAUAGCAGAUUCACCUGUAGAGACGCCGCAGAGGAUAUUGACAGCCAACAUCGUGAGAAGCAGUUAGAAAAUACGCUGUCGUGUUGUUUCAUUGGAAUUUGUACGAAAUUGAGAACACUACAUCAACGUGUGCAGUAUCAGUUCAGUCAUCUCAACAACUAUAUCCAAAUCCAACUUAGCAACCUUUCCAGAACGAGUUUCAAAUCACAGCAGCUUCUAGAACCAUCUCAACAGUUUCCACAGAACGAGAUUCAAUUCUCUGCAGCUUCCAGAACCUACUUAUCACACUAAAAAUUUCAUUUGUUAACAAAAUAUCGGUGAGUCAUGUCAAUAAAUAAAAUCCAAAUGAUUGAUUUUCCAAAAACCAACCAACAUUCGCAGUUACCUUCAAUAUCUUACGAUGGUGUAGAGGUAAAGGAUAAUGUCUACCAUGCGGACGUCGUGGGUUCGAAUCUCAUAACUAUGAACUUUUUUUAAUUGAAAUCACGUGACAAGGAGGUCUGAGCGCUGAUGCGGAAUCCCAAGGGGGCCGAGGGCGAAGUCUCAAGAGGGCUUGAGCGGUGAUGUGGAGUACUGAGGGGGCCGAGGGGUGAUGCGGAGUCUCAAGGAGACCCCUCUGUCAGAAGACAUCAUAAUACAAGCAAUUCUGUAGGAAAGUCCCACGGAGCCCCUUCUGUCAGAAGUACCGUCCUACGCCGACAUUUGACAGAUGCACCGUCCUACGCCUUCCAGUAGAUAGUUCAGCUAGUGAUUCAUAGGUGACGUGCACGAUCCUCAAUUCCGUAGCCGGUGAACGUCAAUUUGUUAGCCCUGAAGUUAGCAACACCCCGACGUUUCACCCUCACAGACACCGUCCCACACCCUCAUUGACAUUUGACAGUUACACAGACACCGAUCCGUAUUGACAGACAUCAUAAAACCAGCAACUGCGCACACUGCGUCGCAUGACAACACCCAUAUAUCUAGUGUUUACAGUGUCCUUCUUCAACCAAUAG
rnacentral:lncRNA from 1 species